rnacentral:misc_RNA from 1 species
UUUCCGUAGGUGAACCUGCGGAAGGAUCAUUACAGAGUCGAUGCCCUGAGAUAUGGGUAAUCCUCCCACCCGUGUUAACCGUACCGCGUUGCUUUGGCGGGCCGCCGCGAGGCCCCGGCUCCGGCUGGGUCGCGCCCGUCAGAGGACCCCCAAACCCAUGAUAGUGAGUGUCGUCCGAGUACUAUCUAAUAGUUAAAACUUUCAACAACGGAUCUCUUGGUUCUGGCAUCGAUGAAGAACGCAGC